rnacentral:rRNA from 1 species
ACGGGAGGCAGCAGUGGGGAAUAUUGCACAAUGGGGGAAACCCUGAUGCAGCGACGCCGCGUGAGCGAAGAAGUAUUUCGGUAUGUAAAGCUCUAUCAGCAGGGAAGAAGAAAUGACGGUACCUGACUAAGAAGCACCGGCUAAAUACGUGCCAGCAGCCGCGGUAAUACGUAUGGUGCAAGCGUUAUCCGGAUUUACUGGGUGUAAAGGGAGCGCAGGCGGAAGGCUAAGUCUGAUGUGAAAGCCCGGGGCCCAACCCCGGUACUGCAUUGGAAACUGGUCAUCUAGAGUGUCGGAGGGGUAAGUGGAAUUCCUAGUGUAGCGGUGAAAUGCGUAGAUAUUAGGAGGAACACCAGUGGCGAAGGCGGCUUACUGGACGAUAACUGACGCUGAGGCUCGAAAGCGUGGGGAGCAAACAGGAUUAGAUACCCUGGUA